rnacentral:rRNA from 1 species
CCUACGGGAGGCAGCAGUGGGGAAUAUUGCACAAUGGGGGAAACCCUGAUGCAGCGACGCCGCGUGAGUGAAGAAGUAAUUCGUUAUGUAAAGCUCUAUCAGCAGGGAAGAAAAUGACGGUACCUGAGUAAGAAGCCCCGGCUAACUACGUGCCAGCAGCCGCGGUACUACGUAGGGGGCAAGCGUUAUCCGGAUUUACUGGGUGUAAAGGGAGCGUAGACGGCAGUGCAAGUCUGGAGUGAAAGGCGGGGGCUCAACCCCCGGACUGCUCUGGAAACUGUACGGCUGGAGUGCAGGAGAGGUAAGUGGAAUUCCUAGUGUAGCGGUGAAAUGCGUAGAUAGUAGGAGGAACACCAGUGGCGAAGGCGGCUUACUGGACUGUAACUGACGUUGAGGCUCGAAAGCGUGGGGAGCAAACAGGAUUAGAUACCCCUGUAGUC